GAACUCGGCAAAAUUACCUCGUAACUUCGGAAGAAGAGGUACCCCUUCACGGGGGUUGCAAUAGAUUGACCCUGGCGACUGUUUACCAAAAACACAGGUCUCCGCUAAUUCGUAAGAAAAAGUAUGGGGGCUGACGCCUGCCAGUGCCGGAAGGUUAAAGAAGUUGGUUAGUCCUUGGACAAAGCUAGCGACUGAAGCCCCGGUGAACGGCGGCCGUAACAAUAACGGUCCUAAGGUAGCGAAAUUCCUUGUCGGGUAAGUUCCGACCCGCACGAAAGGCGUAACGAUCAGGGUACUGUCUCGGAGAGAGGCUCGGCGAAAUAGACAUGUCUGUGAAGAUGCGGACUACCUGCACCUGGACAGAAAGACCCUAUGAAGCUUUACUGUAUCUUGGAAUUGGGUUUGGUCUUUGCAUGCGCAGUAUAGGUGGGAGGCUUUGAAGAUGAUCUUGCGGGGUCGUUGGAGCCACUGGUGGGAUACCACCCUUGCAAUGAUAAAAUCCUAACUUUGAACCGUUAUCCGGUCAAAGAACAGUUUCAGGUGGGCAGUUUGACUGGGGCGGUCGCCUCCUAAAAGGUAACGGAGGCGUGCAAAGGUUCCCUCAGGCUGGUUGGACAUCAGUCGUAGAGUGUAAAGGCAUAAGGGAGCUUGACUGCGAGACCAACAAGUCGAGCAGAGACGAGAGUCGGCCUUAGUGAUCCGGCGCUUCCGAGUGGAAGGGGCGUCGCUCAACGGAUAAAAGUUACUCUAAGGAUAACAGGCUGAUCUCCCCCAAGAGUUCACAUCGACGGGGAGGUUUGGCACCUCGAUGUCGGCUCAUCGCAUCCUGGGGCGGUAGUACGUCCCAAGGGCUGGGCUGUUCGCCCAUGAAAGCGGUACGCGAGCUGGGUUCAGAACGUCGUGAGACAGUUCGGUCCAUAUCCGGUGCAGGCGUUAGAGUAUUGCGAAGACUCCUCCUUAGUACGAGAGGACCGGGGGGAAUGCACCGCUGGUGUACCAGUUAUCGUGCCAACGGUAAACGCUGGGUAGCCAAGUGCAGUUUGGAUAACUGCUGAAAGCAUCUAAGUAGGAAGCCAGCUUCAAGAUGAGUACUCUCACCGCUUCAAGCGGGUAAGAUCACGGCAAGAACAGCCGUUUGAUAGGCAUCAAGUGUAAGUGCAGUAAUGUAUUCAGCUGAGAUGUACUAAUAGAUCGAGGGCUUAU
rnacentral:rRNA from 1 species